UACGUAGGCAGCGAGCGUUGUUCGGAAUUACUGGGCGUAAAGAGUGUGUAGGCGGUGCUCCAAGUCUGUUGUGAAAUCUCCCGGCUUAACCGGGAGGGUGCGGUGGAAACUGGUGUGCUUGAGGGUGGGAGAGGUAAGCGGAAUUCCUGGUGUAGCGGUGAAAUGCGUAGAUAUCCGGAGGAGCACCGACGGCGAAGGCAGCGCCCUGGACGACACCUGACGCUCAGGCACGAAAGCUGGGGGAGCAAACAGG
rnacentral:rRNA from 1 species